CCUACGGGAGGCAGCAGUAGGGAAUCUUUCACAAUGGGCGAAAGCCUGAUGGAGCAACGCCGCGUGCAGGAUGAAGGCCUUCGGGUUGUAAACUGCUUUUAUAAGCGAGAAAUAUGAUGGUAACUUAUGAAUAAGGAUCGACUAACUACGUGCCAGCAGCCGCGGUCAUACGUAGGAUCCGAGCAUUAUCCGGAGUGACUGGGUGUAAAGAGUUGCGUAGGUGGCAUAAAGGUAGCUAGGGAAAUCUGGGGGCUCAACCAUUCAGACUAUUAGCUAAACUGUUAAGCUCGAGACCGUUAGGGGUAACUGGAAUUUCUAGUGUAGGAGUGAAAUCCGUAGAUAUUAGAAGGAACACCAAUAGCGUAGGCAGGUUACUGGGACGGUUCUGACACUAAGGCACGAAAGCGUAGGGAGCAAACGGGAUUAGAUACCCCUGUAGUC
rnacentral:rRNA from 1 species